rnacentral:lncRNA from 1 species
CUAGGGCUACAGGGAUAUAUUACACAGGCAUAGAUCGUGCUCUCAAGACUUGACAAUCAAAUAGGGCAGACAAUCAGAAAAUUAAAAUCCAGGAAGAUAACAGCAACGAUGAAAAAGAGUUCAGAACCCUGGAGAAGAAUAACCUUACAAAAAUUCUGGGGUCAGGAAGUCUUCCCAGGAGAGAUGACAUCUCAGCUGAGGAUUAAAGUUUCCAUGGGAAUGACCCAGUAUCCUUUGCUGACACUCCCAUGUGGCUUUGUGUAGAACAAUGAUCCAUAGCCAGGAUGCCCACAGACAUCACACUGGCUGUUCUGAGAAGAAUGAAUGACAAGAGACAAAGAAUGAAAGGAAGGCAAAGAUUCUGGGAAGAUGAUGUUAGGACUCAGAAAACAACACCCCAAAAUAAAAGCCUCAGAAGCAAUAGUUUUUCUCUGAUCUUUUCCUGCACUCGUCUCUCAGUUCAAUUCUCCUCCAAGGCUAGCCAUAGAAACUGAGUUCCUUUUCCCCAAAGCCAGCCAUGAAAACUAAAAAUGUUACUCUAAUUUUCCCCUCACCUUUCUGUGUAAACAACUGGCCAUAAAGAAGUUAUCUGACCUACCUUGUUUGAAUGGGAGUCAUAAGCCCCCAUUCCAGAGAGGAUCCUGUCCCAUACCCAGAAGGAACAAAUGCAGG